UACGUAGGCAGCAAGCGUUGUUCGGAGUUACUGGGCGUAAAGGGUGCGUAGGCGGUCCUAUAAGUAUGGUGUGAAAUCUCCCGGCUUAAUUGGGAGGGUGCGCUAUAGACUGUGGGACUAGAGUGUGGGAGAGGAAAGUGGAAUUCCUGGUGUAGCGGUGAAAUGCGUAGAUAUCAGGAGGAACACCGGUGGCGAAGGCGGCCUACUGGGCCAGCACUGACGCUGAGGCGCGAAAGCCAGGGGAGCAAACGGGG
rnacentral:rRNA from 1 species